AGAGUUUGAUCCUGGCUCAGGACGAACGCUGACGGUGUGCUUUAGGCAUGCAAGUCGAACGAGAAAGCCCUUCGGGGUGAGUAAAGUGGCGAACGGGUGAGUAACACGUGGGCAACCUGCCCCUCGCAGGGGGGACAACCGGAGGAAACUCCGGCUAAUACCCCGUACGUUCCACGCAUCGCAUGUUGUGUGGAGGAAAGGUAGCCUCGGCUAUCCGGCGAGGGGAUGGGGCCCGCGGUGCAUUAGCUAGUUGGUGGGGUAACGGCCUACCAAGGCGACGAUGCGUAGCUGGUCUGAGAGGAUGAUCAGCCACACUGGGACUGAGACACGGCCCAGACUCCUACGGGAGGCAGCAGCCAGGAAUCUUGGGCAAUGGGCGAAAGCCUGACCCAGCAACACCGUGUGGGUGAUGAAGGCCUUCGGGUCGUAAAGCCCUGUUGAUAGGGACGAAGGGCGAAGGGUUAAUAGCCCCUAGCUUGACGGUACCUUUCGAGGAAGCCCCGGCUAACUACGUGCCAGCAGCCGCGGUAAUACGUAGGGGGCGAGCGUUGUCCGGAAUUAUUGGGCGUAAAGAGCGUGUAGGCGGUUCGGUAAGUCUGUCGUGAAAUCCUAGGGCUCAACCCUGGGCGUGCGAUGGAUACUGCCGGCUAGAGGGUGGUAGAGGCGAGUGAANNCCCGGUGUAGCGGUGAAAUGCGCAGAUAUCGGGAGGAACACCAGUAGCGAAGGCGGCUCGCUGGGCCACACCUGACGCUGAGACGCGAAAGCGGGGAGCGAACAGGAUUAGAUACCCGUAGUCC
rnacentral:rRNA from 1 species